GGGGCAUUAGCGCAGUUGGUAGCGCGUCUCGGUCGCAUCGAGAAGGUCACGGGUUCGACUCCCGUAUGCUCCACAA
rnacentral:tRNA from 2 species